rnacentral:rRNA from 1 species
AUUGAACGCUGGCGGCAUGCUUUACACAUGCAAGUCGAACGGUAGAGGGGCAACCCUUGAGAGUGGCGAACGGGUGAGUAAUGCAUCGGAACGUGCCCAGUGGUGGGGGAUAGCCCGGCGAAAGCCGGAUUAAUACCGCAUGAGACCUGAGGGUGAAAGCGGGGGACUCGAAAGGGCCUCGCGCUAUUGGAGCGGCCGAUGUCAGAUUAGCUAGUUUGUGGGGUAAAGGCCUACCAAGGCGACGAUCUGUAGCUGGUCUGAGAGGACGACCAGCCACACUGGGACUGAGACACGGCCCAGACUCCUACGGGAGGCAGCAGUGGGGAAUUUUGGACAAUGGGCGCAAGCCUGAUCCAGCCAUGCCGCGUGCGGGAAGAAGGCCUUCGGGUUGUAAACCGCUUUUGUCAGGGAAGAAAUCUUCUGGGUUAAUACCCUGGGAGGAUGACGGUACCUGAAGAAUAAGCACCGGCUAACUACGUGCCAGCCGCCGCGGUAAAAC